rnacentral:rRNA from 1 species
CAGUCGCCGCGGUAAUACGAAGGGGGCUAGCGUUGUUCGGAAUUACUGGGCGUAAAGGGCGCGUAGGCGGCCAUUCAAGUUAGAUGUGAAAGCCCUGGGCUCGACCUAGGAAUUGCAUUUGAUACUGUUUGGCUUGAGUUCGGGAGAGGUGAGUGGAAUUCCCAGUGUAGAGGUGAAAUUCGUGGAUAUUGGGAAGAACACCAGUGGCGAAGGCGGCUCACUGGACCGACACUGACGCUGAGGCGCGAAAGUGUGGGGAGCAAACAGGAUUAGAUACCCCUGUAGUCCCUGUCUCUUAUAC